CCUCAGGCUAAUCAGAGAACUGAAUAUACCAACAGAUGAAACCUAUUUUUCAUCUAUGUUCUAGUCUAAUUUUAGAGCCAAAUCUAAUUUAACGUGGAUUUGCAUUUUUCUUACCAAAAGCACUCUUGGGUCAGAAAGAUCAGUACUUUGCUAGUACAGUAAGUGUUAUGGUUUCUGUUACUUUUCUCCAAUGUUUAUUUUAGGGUUUUUGUUGGUGUAUGUAGAUUUGUUUGUAGCAUAUUUUGUGUUUGUAUGCAACGUGGAUAU